CUACACGGGUAUCUAAUCCUGUUUGCUACCCACGCUUUCGAGCCUCAGCGUCAAUAUUGGCCCAGAAGACUGCCUUCGCCAUUGGUGUUCCUCCACAUAUCUACGCAUUUCACCGCUACACGUGGAAUUCCGUCUUCCUCUACCAUAUUCUAGUCGCGCAGUUUCGAAUGCAAUUCCAAGGUUGAGCCCUGGGCUUUCACAUCCGACACACGCAACCGCCUGCACUCGCUUUACGCCCAGUAAUUCCGAUUAACGCUUGCACCCUCCGUAUUACCGCGGCUGCUGGCAC
rnacentral:rRNA from 1 species